CGUAGCCCCGAGUUGAGAGACUGAUCGGCCACAUUGGGGACUGAGACACGGGCCCAAACUCCUACGGGAGGCAGCAGUAGGGAAUCUUCCACAAUGGACGCAAGUCUGAUGGAGCAAACGCCGCGUGAGUGAAGAAGGUUUUCGGAUCGUAAAGCUCUGUUGUUGGUGAAGAAGGAUAGAGGUAGUAACUGGCCCUUUAUUUGACGGUAAUCAACCAGAAAGUCACGGGCUAACUACGUGCCAGCAGCCGCGGUAAAU
rnacentral:rRNA from 1 species